AAAAAGAGGAGUGGCGAACGGGUGAGUAACACGUGGGUAACCUGCCCAUCAGAAGGGGAUAACACUUGGAAACAGGUGCUAAUACCGUAUAACAAUCAAAACCGCAUGGUUUUGAUUUGAAAGGCGCUUUCGGGUGUCGCUGAUGGAUGGACCCGCGGUGCAUUAGCUAGUUGGUGAGGUAACGGCUCACCAAGGCCACGAUGCAUAGCCGACCUGAGAGGGUGAUCGGCCACAUUGGGACUGAGACACGGCCCAAACUCCUACGGGAGGCAGCAGUAGGGAAUCUUCGGCAAUGGACGAAAGUCUGACCGAGCAACGCCGCGUGAGUGAAGAAGGUUUUCGGAUCGUAAAACUCUGUUGUUAGAGAAGAACAAGGAUGAGAGUAACUGUUCAUCCCUUGACGGUAUCUAACCAGAAAGCCACGGCUAACUACGUGCCAGCAGCCGCGGUAAUACGUAGGUGGCAAGCGUUGUCCGGAUUUAUUGGGCGUAAAGCGAGCGCAGGCGGUUUCUUAAGUCUGAUGUGAAAGCCCCCGGCUCAACCGGGGAGGGUCAUUGGAAACUGGGAGACUUGAGUGCAGAAGAGGAGAGUGGAAUUCCAUGUGUAGCGGUGAAAUGCAUAGAUAUAUGGAGGAACACCAGUGGCGAAGGCGGCUCUCUGGUCUGUAACUGAACGCUGAGGCUCGAAAGCGUGGGGAGCAAAC
rnacentral:rRNA from 1 species